rnacentral:rRNA from 1 species
GAACGAACGCUGGCGGCAGGCUUAACACAUGCAAGUCGAACGAUAUAGUGGCAGACGGGUGAGUAACGCGUGGAAACGUGCCUUUCACUACGGAAUAGCUUUUGGAAACGAAAGGUAAUACCGUAUACGCCCUCCGGGGGAAAGAUUUAUCGGUGAAAGAUCGGUCCGCGUUAGAUUAGCUAGUUGGUGAGGUAACGGCUCACCAAGGCUACGAUCUAUAGCUGGUCUGAGAGGAUGAUCAGCCACACUGGGACUGAGACACGGCCCAGACUCCUACGGGAGGCAGCAGUGGGGAAUAUUGCACAAUGGGCGCAAGCCUGAUGCAGCCAUGCCGCGUGAAUGAUGAAGGCCUUAGGGUUGUAAAAUUCUUUCGCCAAGGAUGAUAAUGACAGUACUUGGUAAAGAAGCCCCGGCUAACUUCGUGCCAGCAGCCGCGGUAAUACGAAGGGGGCUAGCGUUGUUCGGAAUUACUGGGCGUAAAGCGCACGUAGGCGGACUUUUAAGUCAGAUGUGAAAUCCCAAGGCUCAACCUCGGAACUGCAUUUGAAACUGGGAGUCUAGAGAUCAGGAGAGGUUAGUGGAAUACCGAGUGUAGAGGUGAAAUUUCGUAGAUAUUCGGUGGAACACCAGUGGCGAAGGCGACUAACUGGACUGAUACUGACGCUGAGGUGCGAAAGUGUGGGGAGCAAACAGGAUUAGAUACCCUGGUAGUCCACACCGUAAACGAUGAGAGCUAGUUGUCUGCAGGCAUGCCUGUAGGUGACGCAGCUAACGCAUUAAGCUCUCCGCCUGGGGAGUACGGCCGCAAGGUUAAAACUCAAAGAAAUUGACGGGGGCCCGCACAAGCGGUGGAGCAUGUGGUUUAAUUCGAAGCAACGCGCAGAACCUUACCUACGCUUGACAUGCCUGGACGACUCCGAGAGAUCGGUUUCUCCCUUCGGGGCCAGUGCACAGGUGCUGCAUGGCUGUCGUCAGCUCGUGUCGUGAGAUGUUGGGUUAAGUCCCGCAACGAGCGCAACCCUCAUCCUUAGUUGCCAUCACGUUUGGGUGGGCACUCUAGGGAAACUGCCGGUGCUAAGCCGGAGGAAGGCGGGGAUGACGUCAAGUCCUCAUGGCCCUUACGCGUAGGGCUACACACGUGCUACAAUGGCAGUGACAAUGGGAUAAUCCCCAAAAGCUGUCUCAGUUCGGAUUGUCGGCUGCAACUCGCCGGCAUGAAGUUGGAAUCGCUAGUAAUCGUGGAUCAGCAUGCCACGGUGAAUACGUUCCCGGGCCUUGUACACACCGCCCGUCACACCAUGGGAGUGGGAUCUACCCGAAGAUUGUGAGCUAACUUCGGAGGCAGCAAGCCACGGUAGGUUCAGCGACUGGGGU